GACGAACGCUGGCGGCGUGGCUAAGGCAUGCAAGUCGAACGGUCAUGCUUUGAAGGCAACGGAUGAGUAUGAUAGUGGCGAACGGGUGAGGAAUACAUAGAUAACGUACCCUAGACUCAGGGAUAGCGGCGUCCGCCGCAAGGCGGUACUUUGCGAAAGUGCCGGUAAUACCUGAUCGACCCCGUAGGAUCGCAUGACUCCCGGCGGGAC
rnacentral:rRNA from 1 species